rnacentral:rRNA from 1 species
CCUACGGGUGGCAGCAGUGAGGAAUAUUGGUCAAUGGCCACAGGGCUGAACCAGCCAAGUCGCGUGAGGGAUGACGGUCCUAUGGAUUGUAAACCUCUUUUGUCAGGGAGCAAAGGGCGCCACGUGUGGCGCUUUGCGAGUACCUGAAGAAAAAGCAUCGGCUAACUCCGUGCCAGCAGCCGCGGUAAUACGGAGGAUGCGAGCGUUAUCCGGAUUUAUUGGGUUUAAAGGGUGCGAAGGCGGAAUGUCAAGUCAGCGGUAAAAUUUCGGGGCUCAACCACGUCGUGCAGUGGAAACUGGGGUUCUUGAGUGCGCCAGAGGUAGGGGGAAUUAGUGGUGGAGCGGGGAAAGGCUUAGAUAUCACGAAGAACUC